AGGGGAGGAAGCAUGGUGGACAGAGACAGGGGUUGACAUUUCAGUGAGAAGCUCUUCGUUUGUGAUUGCUUGUCGUACGUUCGUACCGUCGACUGGACUAUUUCCUCCCAACAACGGGCACGAAGUUGCAUCCAUGAGUUCACCGUUGGUUGACACAUUAAAUUGACCAUCACAUGUAGGAAUCCCUCCGGCGUCUUCUGACGACUACAGCGAUGCAGAAGGCCACGGCCAGAAGGAUGAUGACGCCGAU